CCGAGGAAAAGAAAUCAACCGAGAUUCCCCCAGUAGCGGCGAGCGAACGGGGAGGAGCCCAGAGCCUGAAUCAGCAUGUGUGUUAGUGGAAGCGUCUGGAAAGGCGCGCGAUACAGGGUGACAGCCCCGUACACAAAAGCGCAUGUGCUGUGAGCUCGAUGAGUAGGGCGGGACACGUGGUAUCCUGUCUGAAUAUGGGGGGACCAUCCUCCAAGGCUAAAUACUCCUGACUGACCGAUAGUGAACCAGUACCGUGAGGGAAAGGCGAAAAGAACCCCGGCGAGGGGAGUGAAAAAGAACCUGAAACCGUGUACGUACAAGCAGUGGGAGCACAGGUUUACCUGUGUGACUGCGUACCUUUUGUAUAAUGGGUCAGCGACUUAUAUUCUGUAGCAAGGUUAACCGAAUAGGGGAGCCGGAGGGAAACCGAGUCUUAAUUGGGCGUUAAGUUGCAGGGUAUAGACCCGAAACCCGGUGAUCUAGCCAUGGGCAGGUUGAAGGUUGGGUAACACUAACUGGAGGACCGAACCGACUAAUGUUGAAAAAUUAGCGGAUGACCUGUGGCUGGGGGUGAAAGGCCAAUCAAACCGGGAGAUAGCUGGUUCUCCCCGAAAGCUAUUUAGGUAGCGCCUCGUGAAUUCAUCUCCGGGGGUAGAGCACUGUUUCGGCUAGGGGGCCAUCCCGGCUUACCAACCCGAUGCAAACUGCGAAUACCGGAGAAUGUUAUCACGGGAGACACACGGCGGGUGCUAACGUCCGUCGUGAAGAGGGAAACAACCCAGACCGCCAGCUAAGGUCCCAAAGUCAUGGUUAAGUGGGAAACGAUGUGGGAAGGCCCAGACAGCCAGGAUGUUGGCUUAGAAGCAGCCAUCAUUUAAAGAAAGCGUAAUAGCUCACUGGUCGAGUCGGCCUGCGCGGAAGAUGUAACGGGGCUAAACCAU
rnacentral:rRNA from 1 species